AUUGAACGCUGGCGGCAGGCCUAACACAUGCAAGUCGAGCGGAUGAAGGGAGCUUGCUCCUGGAUUCAGCGGCGGACGGGUGAGUAAUGCCUAGGAAUCUGCCUGGUAGUGGGGGAUAACGUCCGGAAACGGGCGCUAAUACCGCAUACGUCCUGAGGGAGAAAGUGGGGGAUCUUCGGACCUCACGCUAUCAGAUGAUCCUAGGUCGGAUUAGCUAGUUGGUGGGGUAAAGGCCUACCAAGGCGACGAUCCGUAACUGGUCUGAGAGGAUGAUCAGUCACACUGGAACUGAGACACGGUCCAGACUCCUACGGGAGGCAGCAGUGGGGAAUAUUGGACAAUGGGCGAAAGCCUGAUCCAGCCAGGCCGCGUGUGUGAAGAAGGUCUUCGGAUUGUAAAGCACUUUAAGUUGGGAGGAAGGGCAGUAAGUUAAUACCUUGCUGUUUUGACGUUACCAACAGAAUAAGCACCGGCUAACUUCGUG
rnacentral:rRNA from 1 species